rnacentral:rRNA from 1 species
GGGCCAAUGGGGCUAGUUUCAGCCGGGAAGGGAACUGCGCCAGGAUGCCUCCGCGAACCACGUUGCAUCCGAGAACCCGUUGCAUGCACUAAGCUGCAACCAGUGGCCCGACGGCCAAGCUUCGAAGGUGAGUUGUCGAAUGGGAAAGCCUCUUUACCGGUGGCUUUCUGUAUGGCGCAUCGCAUUUGUGGCUCCAUGGUAGUGCGCCGUGAUGCAUCUGACGGGAUUUCAAGCGGUACAUCUGAUGGGGUUCUGGAGUUGGCGGGGUGAAUCUGAGUGGGCGGGUGAAUCUGAGUGGGCGGGUGAAUCUGAGUGGGCGGGUGAAUCUGACAGGCUUUGAAUGUCUGAAGUUAGUAGGCGAGCCUACACGGCAAGUAUGCGAACUUGUCAAAGUUCCAUACCCACCUUUCAUCAUCGCCGCUAAAUGAUCCAGUGGUAGGGCCUGGCUUGCGACUCCUAGGCCAUCCCAUAGCUUUCUCUAUACUCCACGCGGGCGUCAUAUUCUUCCUUCCUUUAUAUUGUUUUACAGUGAAUCAGGCCGAAAAAGCGUUUAAGGAUUAAGAAAAACUAUGGGAUAGUGAUUCUGGGACAAUGCUCCAGAGCGAAUCCGGAUGGUCAAUGUGUCUCUGUUGUCUGGUCUUUGUGCGUGGGAACAGGAAAGACAAAUCCAUGGUACUAACAAGGAAGCAUAAUUAUUAGGACCCGAAAGAUGGUGAACUAUACCUGGAUAGGGUGAAGCCAGAGGAAACUCUGGUGGAAGCUCGUAGCGGUUCUGACGUGCAAGUCGAUCGUCAAAUCUGGGUAUAGGGGCGAAAGACUAAUCGAACCAUCUAGUAGCUGGUUCCUGCCGAAGUUUCCCUCAGGAUAGCAGAAGCUCAUUACAGUUUUAUGAGGUAAAGCAAUGAUUAGACGUCUUUGGGCGAAAUAGCCUUGGCGUAUUCUCAAACUUGAAAUAUGUAUGAAGAAUUUGUUACUUUAUUGAACAUUUUCACGGAUGUAGAGCUUUUAGUGGGCCAUUUUUGGUAAGCACAACUGGCGAUGCAGGAUGAACCGAACGUAAAGUUAAAGUGCCAGAAUUCACGCUAAUCAGGCACCACAAAAGGUGUUAGUUCAUCUAGACAGCCGGACGGUGGCCAUGGAAGCCGGAAUCCGCUAAGGAGUGUGUAGCAACUCACCGGCCGAAUGAACUAGCCCUGAAAAUGGAUGGCGCUAAGCGUGAUACUUAUACUUACCUCUGUUUAAUUUCAAAAGAGAGGAGGCUGGCGUGGGGGCUGUAUAGAAGGUUUAGUGUGGAGUGGAACUGCCGCUAGUGCAGAUCUUGGUGGUAGUAGCAAAUAUUCCAAUGGGAAUGUUGAAGACUGAAGUGGGGAAAGGUUCCAUGCCAACAGUAAAUGAACAUGGGUAAGUCGAUUAGGAUCCAGGCAUUGCUGUUAAUUAAACAAUUUUGUUUUCGGGAGGGAAAGGGAAACUGGUUAAAAUUCCAGUACUUGGAUAUGGAAACGGUAACGUAAUGAAUGUGAAGACGUUGGAAUAAGUUCUGGAAAAUUUCCUUUUUUUUAUAACAUUCAACGACCCUGGAAAUGGAUUAACCUGAGAUAGGGUUUAGGAAUGGAAGACCUGCGAAUUAUUUUGUAGGCCAGUGCACUUAUUACAACCCUUGAAAAUUCACAUGUGUCCAUGCCAAGUCGUACUCAUAUCCGCAGCAGGUCUCCAAGGUUAACAACCUCGUUGAUAGAAUAAAGUAGUUAAGGGAAGUCGGCAGAAUUGAUCCGUAACUUCGGGAUAAGGAUUGGCGCUAGUGGUCGGUCGAAAUUGAAAGGGUUGUUGACUUGUCAACCUCCCACCUUCGCUCAACAAUCGGCCUGACUAGAACUGGAACGGACUUCGGGAAUCUGACUGUCUAAUUAAAACAUAGCAUUGCGAUGCUCACAGGACGUUGACGCAAUGUGAUUUCUACCCAGUGCUCUGAAUGUCAAAGUGAAGAAAUUCAAUCAAGCGCGGGUAAACGGCGGGAGUAACUAUGACUCUCUUAAGGUAGCCAAAUGCCUCGUCAUGUAAUUAGUGACGCGCAUGAAUGGAUUAACGAGAUUCCCACUGUCCCUAUCUACUAUCUAGCGAAACCACAGCCAAGGGAAAGGGCUUGGAAAAAUCAGCGGGGAAAGAAGACCCUGUUGAGCUUGACUCUAGUUUGACAUUGUGAAAAGGCAUGAAGGGUGUAGAAUAGUAUUAGACUCCCCAUGGGAAGUGUGCUACCCAUAGGUGCACAAUUUAUUUUAAGUAAAUAAGGAUUUUAAUAGGUUUAAUAUUAUCUAAUGGAUGAAUAAAAUGUCAUAAAUAAUCCAUCUUUUGGAUUUAAACAACCUCAAAAUAAUUUUUAUUAUACAUGAUGAAUAUUUUGUGAUCGACUAGAGUAUCGCCGGCACUUUCCUUGGGAUAGCGAUGCUUCUAAUGGCUGCACUCUGUCAACCAGCGUUCCGCGUCACGUUGCUAUUCUUACCUCUCGAGGGAGAAUGCCUGAGUAUCCCCUUGAUUCCUCGGAAUCGAAUGCCACAGUUAGACUUGGAAACUUUCAACUACGUGUGCAUGUAACUAGGGAACGACUCAGUCUGGGUAUUACAGAGAGGCAAGACAUCAACGAAGUUAUUCCAAAUAAUAGCUUCCCGAAGCUCCCACCCCAAGACAUCCAAAGCUGGUGUCAUUGGUGGGAGCACGUACCGAUUCUUUGAAAAGAAUACCACAAUCUUUUGCAGAAGUCAGCGAAUUGGAUCUUCUAGAAGAAAGAAUGCCAAGCUGAGAGCGCAUCAGGAGAAUCAAACCUUCUCCCCGGUCCCUGUCCCUCUGGUGUCAAACCUAUGGGAUGUCUGUCCCUCCGGUGUCAAACCCAUGGGAUGUCUGUCCCUCUGGUGUCAAACCUAUGGGAUGUCUGUCCCUCCGGUGUCAAACCCAUGGGAUUGU